CCUACGGGAGGCAGCAGUGAGGAAUAUUGGUCAAUGGGAGAGAUCCUGAACCAGCCAAGCCGCGUGAGGGAAGACGGCCCUAUGGGUUGUAAACCUCUUUUGUCGGAGAACAAAACCCGGGACGUGUCCCGGACUGCGUGUAUCCGAAGAAAAAGCAUCGGCUAACUCCGUGCCAGCAGCCGCGGUAAUACGGAGGAUGCGAGCGUUAUCCGGCUUUAUUGGGUUUAAAGGGUGCGUAGGCGGUCCGUUAAGUCAGCGGUAAAAUUGCGGGGCUCAACCCCGUCUAGCCGUUGAAACUGGCAGACUUGAGUUGGCGAGAAGUACGCGGAAUGCGCGGUGAAGCGGUGAAAUGCAUAGAUAUCACGCAGAACCCCGAGUGCGAAGGCAGCAUGCCGGCUUCCGACUGACGCUGAAGCACGAAAGCGUGGGGAUCGAACAGGAUUAGAUACCCUUGUAGUC
rnacentral:rRNA from 1 species